rnacentral:rRNA from 1 species
CCAUACUCCUACGGGAGGCAGCAGCAGGGAAUAUUGCACAAUGGACGGAAGUCUGAUGCAGCGACGCCGCGUGGAUGAAGAAGGCCCUCGGGUUGUAAAAUCCUUUACAGGGGGAAGAGGAAGGACGGUACCCCUGGAACAAGUGUCGGCUAACUACGUGCCAACAGCCGCGGUAAGACGUAGGACACAAGCGUUAUCCGGAUUUACUGGGCGUAAAGCGUCUGCAGGCGGACAGGUAAGUUGGGCGUGAAAGCUCCGGGCCCAACCCGGAGAGGUCGUUCAAUACUGCGUGUCUAGAGGGUGUCAGAGGGGAGUGGAAUUUCCGGAGUAGCGGUAAAAUGCGCAGAGAUCGGAAAGAACACCAAUGGCGAAGGCAGCUCCCUGGGGCAACCCUGACGCUAAGAGACGAAAGCUAGGGGAGCGAACAGGAUUAGAGACCCUGGUAGUCCUAGCCCUAAACGAUGGAUGCUGGAUGUGGGGCCAUAGCGCUCCGUGUCGAAGCGAACGCGUUAAGCAUCCCGCCUGGGGACUACGGCCGCAAGGUUAAAACUCAAACGAAUUGACGGGACCCCGCACAAGCAGCGGAGCGUGUGGUUUAAUUCGAUGCUACACGAAGAACCUUACCUGGGUUUGACAUCUAGGUGGUAGUGAAGCGAAAGCGGAGCGACCCUUCGGGGAGCCUAGACAGGUGCUGCAUGGCUGUCGUCAGCUCGUGCCGUGAGGUGUCGGGUUAAGUCCCGUAACGAGCGCAACCCUUGCCCUCCGUUAUACGUGUCAGAGGGGACUGCCGGCGGUAAGCCGGAGGAAGGUGGGGAUGACGUCAAGUCAGCAUGGCCUUUAUAUCCAGGGCUACACACACGCUACAAUGGCCAGUACAAAGGGCAGCGAAGCCGCGAGGUGGAGCGAAUCCCAGCAAAGCUGGUCGUAGUUCGGAUUGCAGGCUGCAACCCGCCUGCAUGAAGCUGGAGUUGCUAGUAACCGCGCGUCAGCCAUAGUGCGGUGAAUACGUUCCCNGGGGUUUGUACACACCGCCCGUCACGUCAUGGGAGUCGAUAACGCCUGAAGCCGGUGGCCUAGCUCGGAAGAGAGGGCGCUGUCUAAGGCGG